AUGUCGCCGCAGGCGGCGGCGGCGCUCGGGUUCCUCCUGCCCACGUGCUGGGAGAUCGAGGUCACCUGCGCCGCGGCCAUGCUCAUCGUCGCGCUCUACGCCGCCUACGAGCUCCUCGGCCCGCGCCCCCCGCCCGCGGGCGCCGACGACCUCGCCCUCGCGCGGGACCUCGACGGCGCCGACAAGUACUCCACGGGGCCGUCGGCGUACGUGGUCAAGCUGGAGCUGCUAGCCGCGAAGAAUUUGAUCGCGGCGAACUUGAAUGGGACCUCGGACCCUUAUGCACUCAUCACCUGCGGCGAAGAGAAGCGUUUCAGCUCCAUGGUUCCUGGCUCAAGAAACCCAAUGUGGGGAGAGGAAUUCAAUUUUGUUGUUGACUCUCUUCCUGUAAAGAUACAGGUGAAAAUAUAUGAUUGGGACAUUGUAUGGAAGAGCACAACACUUGGUUCUGUUACUGUUCCAGUCGAGUCUGAGGGGCAGAGUGGACCGGUUUGGUAUACACUUGACAGCUCAUCAGGUCAGGUUUGUCUCCAUAUUAAGGCGAUCAAGGUUCAUGAGAGUUCCUCCAGGGCUCUAAACAACACUGCCGAGGCUGAUGCUCGUAGAAGGAUUUCCUUAGACAAACAAGGCCCUACUGUAGUUCACCAAAAGCCAGGUCAUUUGCAGACAAUUUUUGGGCUCCCUCCAGAUGAGGUUGUUGAACACAGCUAUUCAUGUGCACUUGAGAGAUCAUUUCUAUACCACGGUCGCAUGUAUGUUUCUUCAUGGCACAUUUGCUUCCAUUCAAACGUCUUCUCUAAGCAGAUUAAGGUUAUGCUCCCUUUGAGAGAUAUUGAUGAGAUAAGAAGAAGCCAGCAUGCAGUUAUUAAUCCAGCAAUUACGAUAUUCCUUCGAACGGGAGCUGGAGGACAUGGAGUUCCUCCCUUAGGAUGCCCUGAUGGAAGGGUUAGGUACAAAUUUGCAUCGUUUUGGAACAGAAACCACACAUUUAGAGCAUUGCAACGAGCUAUGAAGAACUUCCAUGCAAUGAUAGAGGCUGAGAAGCAGGAACGUGCUCAAUCUGCAUUGCGCGCACUCAGUAGCUCAAGAAAAAAUAGCAGCAAGGAGAUAAAUGUUCCAGAAGAUUGUGCUGAUUUAACAGGGCAACUACAACCUUUUGUCAAAGAAGAAGUUCUAGUCUCUGUAUUUAAUGGAACAUUCCCGUGCACUGCAGAACAGUUUUUUAAUAAUCUAUUAAGUGAUGACUCAAGUUACAUAACAGAAUAUAGGACAGCUCGUCAGGAUAAAGAUAUCAACCUGGGCCAGUGGCAUGUUGCAGACGAGUAUGAUGGUCAGGUGAGAGAACUUAACUGUAAAUCCAUAUGCCACAGUCCGAUGUGCCCUCCAUAUUCAGCAAUGACAGAGUGGCAGCAUAUGGUUCUUUCAGCUAACAAAACCGAUCUGGUAUUUGAGACUGUGCAACAAGUACAUGAUGUUCCAUUUGGUUCCUUUUUUGAGGUACACUGUAGAUGGUCUGUGAAAACUAUCGAUUCUAGUUCGUGCAGUGUUAACAUAAGUGCUGGUGCACAUUUCAAGAAAUGGUGCAUAAUGCAGUCUAAAAUAAAGAGUGGCGCUGUGGACGAGUUAAAGAAGGAAGUUCGAGAAAUGCUAGAAUUUGCGGAGUCGUAUAUGCAAGAGGUUAGCUCUCCUAACCAACAAGACAAAGAUCUUGGCCAGGAUACGGCACCAGACACCGAUGACAUACCUGGUGAUCAGUAA
rnacentral:rRNA from 1 species